UACGUAGGUGGCAAGCGUUGUCCGGAAUUAUUGGGCGUAAAGGGCGUGUAGGCGGUCUGCUAAGUCAUGUGUGAAAUCCCUCGGCUUAACCGAGGAACGACGCAUGAAACUGGCAAGCUAGAGUACCAAAGAGGGGGGUGGAAUUCCCGGUGUAGCGGUGAAAUGCGUAGAUAUCGGGAGGAACAUCAGUGGCGAAGGCGGCCUGCUGGGCUGUUGCUGACGCUGAGGCGCGACAGCGUGGGGAGCAAACAGG
rnacentral:rRNA from 1 species